CACCAUGUUAUCUCCAACAUGCAGUCUCAACACAACAAUGCCACUCCACGACGCACUCUUCCCUUCUCCGGGCCCUCUCAUUCCUGCUCAGUUUCCCACCGUAAUUAGACAUUCUCUUCUAAAACCAGUUGAUGGCCACCUCACUUUUGCCAUGGCGCCCACUCUCCUUCCCACUAAACUUUCACACAGACCUUCAAUCAGGAAUCCCCCGCCAACCGCCCCGCUCUCAGCCCUAAUCCCUCCCCUGUGUUCAUGUCGAUCCACCACCAUCAUGAAGGCAAAUGAUAGGUCGAGAAUGGGAGGAGAAAUUUUGCGGCGGCAACGCAACCUCCACAGUAGAGAAACCCUACACAUGAGGGAACAAGACAUGAGUAGCUUGUGAGGGCAGAUCGAAUCAGAAUAAAAAAUCAAUAAAAUCAGUGCAUGCGAGGUGGGAAGGUGGAGAUGAAACUAACGAAAUGAUCGAAAGGAAGGGAAGCGGACGAAACAACCUACACACUCCUCUUUGAUAGUAGAGAUGAUGAUAUAUAGAUCAUACAUAACUGAAUUCCCAUGCAUUGCUACAGAGAGAAAAAAUCACCCAAUGCAACUUGCUUGUUUCUAAAUUAAACUUGGAUACCUUAUUCCACCCUUAACUCAUAACUCUCCUGCCACCCAAGUACCAACUUAAACCUACUUUAGUCUUAUAGUCCAAAGGCAUUGAUUGCUCAUAAAAUACUCCUUAAUAUCAUCUUUCUUAUGCAUGAUCAAAAACCUAGUGCUUGCAAAAAUAUAUGCAUAAGGACAAACAUUAUAGAACUCUGUCGGCAUGUUUGAUUGAAAAAUUGGAACCACUAUAAUUAUAACCUCAAUGGCCGAGUAACAUAAUUUAGUUUAUCGUGUAUGCAUGAAAAGAAUAGCCAUGGUUAUUGGUUAAGUCGUCAUAAUGUGCAAAAAAAUCUUAGCAACUACACAAUUUGUAGAAUGGAAGACAAAGAGAGAUGAUGAUUAGUUAAUAAAACAUAAUAGUAGCAUGUGUCAUGACAUGAUCAAUAUGUGGUGUUAUGUCUACUCCCCUAAAGUGUGAUUCCACUCUCCUUAUAUUAUUUUUUGAAACUAAAAAGACAAAGUAGUGGGUAAUCAUUCAUCACUCAUCACCCCUUGAAACCUUAGGAUAACAUCAGUAUCAAUUUAAGGUGGCAGAACCCGCAAUAUACUACACACUCCUGUGCUAAUCUAAUUCAAUCAAAACACUAAAAAGUGCAGGUUUUGCCUCCCCAUCCCAAAGCCACAUUAAGGGGAAAAACAUUUCAAGAACAACACGUGUGGAAAGUAAAGGGAAUUACCUGGAGGAUAAACAAGAUUAAUGAGAA
rnacentral:lncRNA from 1 species